CAACCCUCGAGCUCCCCUUGGGGAGCCCGGCGUUGGGGAGCGGCAGCACCGCCGGCCCUGAAAUACAGUGGCGGCCCGUCCGCGGCGACCUCUGCGUAGUACAUCACCUCGCACUGGAGACCCGACGCGGCCACGCCGUAAAACACCCAACUUUCUGAA
rnacentral:misc_RNA from 1 species